UACGAAGGGUGCAAGCGUUACUCGGAAUUACUGGGCGUAAAGCGUGCGUAGGUGGUUCGUUAAGUCUGUCGUGAAAGCCCCGGGCUCAACCUGGGAACGGCGCCUGGGACUGAGGAGCUAGAGAUCGGGAGAGGAGAGUGGAAUUCCCAGUGUAGAGGUGAAAUUCGUAGAUAUUGGGAAGAACACCGGUGGCGAAGGCGGCUCUCUGGACCGAGACUGACGCUGAGGCGCGAAAGCGUGGGGAGCAAACAGG
rnacentral:rRNA from 1 species